rnacentral:rRNA from 1 species
AAGCCGUGGGAGCGUCGCGCAGAGAACUUGUUCUUUGCGUCGUGACUGCGUGCCUUUUGAAGAAUGAGCCUGCGAGUUUGCGGUAUGUUGCGAGGUUAACCCGUGUGGGGAAGCCGUAGCGAAAGCGAGUCCGAAGAGGGCGAUAUAGUAGCGUGCCCAAGACCCGAAGCGGAGUGAUCUAGCCAUGGGCAGGUUGAAGCGGAGGUAAGACUUCGUGGAGGACCGAACCCACCAGGGUUGAAAACCUGGGGGAUGACCUGUGGUUAGGGGUGAAAGGCCAAUCAAACUCCGUGAUAGCUGGUUCUCCCCGAAAUGCAUUUAGGUGCAGCGUCGUGUGUUUCUUGCCGGAGGUAGAGCACUGGAUAGGCGAUGGGCCCUACCGGGUUACUGACCUUAGCCAAACUCCGAAUGCCGGUAAGUGAGAGCGCGGCAGUGAGACUGUGGGGGAUAAGCUCCAUGGUCGAGAGGGAAACAGCCCAGAGCAUCGACUAAGGCCCCUAAGCGUGUGCUAAGUGGGAAAGGAUGUGGAGUCGCAGAGACAACCAGGAGGUUGGCUUAGAAGCAGCCAUCCUUGAAAGAGUGCGUAAUAGCUCACUGGUCAAGUGAUUCCGCGCCGACAAUGUAGCGGGGCUCAAGCACACCGCCGAAGUCAUGUCAUUGCAGUAUGUACUCCUAACGGGGACUGUGAUGGGUAGGGGAG